rnacentral:rRNA from 1 species
UACGUAGGGGGCAAGCGUUGUCCGGAUUUAUUGGGCGUAAAGAGCGUGUAGGCGGCUAGGUAGGUCCGUUGUGAAAACUCGAGGCUCAACCUCGAGACGUCGAUGGAAACCAUCUAGCUAGAGUCCGGAAGAGGAGAGUGGAAUUCCUGGUGUAGCGGUGAAAAGCGCAGAUAUCAGGAAGAACACCCGUGGCGAAGGCGGCUCUCUGGUACGUGACUGACGCUGAGACGCGAAAGCGUGGGGAGCAAACAGG